rnacentral:rRNA from 1 species
AUACGUAGGGUGCGAGCGUUGUCCGGAAUUACUGGGCGUAAAGAGCUCGUAGGUGGUUUGUCGCGUCGUCUGUGAAAUUCCGGGGCUUAACUCCGGGCGUGCAGGCGAUACGGGCAUAACUUGAGUACUGUAGGGGAGACUGGAAUUCCUGGUGUAGCGGUGAAAUGCGCAGAUAUCAGGAGGAACACCGGUGGCGAAGGCGGGUCUCUGGUCAGUAACGGACGCUGAGGAGCGAAAGCAUGGGUAGCGAACAGGAUUAGAUACCCUGGUAGUCCAUGCCGUAAACGGUGGGCGCUAGGUGUAGGGGUCUUCCACGACUUCUGUGCCGUAGCUAACGCAUUAAGCGCCCCGCCUGGGGAGUACGGCCGCAAGGCUAAAACUCAAAUGAAUUGACGGGG